CCUGGAAUCGUUUGUGUUCCAAAUGAUUUAUCGCCGUAGGAUGGGACUGCGGCCUAUCAGUUUGUUGGUGAGGUAAUGGCCCACCAAGACUAUUACAGGUACGGGCUCUGAGAGGAGUAGCCCGGAGAUGGGUACUGAGACACGGACCCAGGCCCUAUGGGGCGCAGCAGGCGAGAAAACUUUGCAAUGUGCGAAAGCACGACAAGGUUAAUCCGAGUGGUUUGUGCUAAACGAACCUUUUGACAGUCCUAGAAACACUGUUGAAUAAGGGGUGGGCAAGUUCUGGUGUCAGCCGCCGCGGUAAAACCAGCACCUCAAGUGGUCAGGAUGAUUAUUGGGCCUAAAGCAUCCGUAGCCGGCUCUGUAAGUUUUCGGUUAAAUCUGUACGCA
rnacentral:rRNA from 1 species